rnacentral:rRNA from 1 species
GAUGAACGCUGGCGGCGUGCUUAACACAUGCAAGUCGAACGGUAAGGCCCUACUUUUUUGUUCUGCUCGAGUGGCGAACGGGUGAGUAACACGUGAGUAACCUGCCCUUGACUUUGGUAUAACUUCAGGAAACUGGGGCUAAUACCGUAUAGCAGCUCCUGCUGCAUGUUGGGCAUUGGAAAUUUUCUGCGGUUGGGGAUGGACUCGCGGCUUAUCAGCUUGUUGGUGGGGUAGUGGCUUACCAAGGCUUUGACGGGUAGCCGGCCUGAGAGGGUGAACGGCCACAUUGGGACUGAGAUACGGCCCAGACUCCUACGGGAGGCAGCAGUGGGGAAUAUUGCACAAUGGGCGAAAGCCUGAUGCAGCAACGCCGCGUGAGGGAUGACGGCCUGCGGGUUGUAAACAGCUUUCGGCUGGGAAGAAGCGGGAGUGACGGUAACGGGAGAAGAAGCACCGGCUAACUACGUG